rnacentral:tRNA from 1 species
GGUGGAUUAGUCUAGUGGUUAUGACGUUUCGUUGUGGCCGAAACAGCCCGUGUUCGAUUCACGGAUCCGCCA